rfam:Tupaia chinensis contig195840, whole genome shotgun sequence.
AGCCUUUUGUGGCUCAUGGACGUGAUUGAAUUUUCACACUAUCCACACUAUCGUGUGAGAUGUGUCUCUCUUGAACCUUGUUAGGCACAUUACCCGUCUGAUG